rnacentral:rRNA from 1 species
ACUCCUACGGGAGGCAGCAGUGGGGAAUAUUGCACAAUGGGCGCAAGCCUGAUGCAGCCAUGCCGCGUGUAUGAAGAAGGCCUUCGGGUUGUAAAGUACUUUCAGCAGUGAGGAAGGUGGAUAUGUUAAUAGCAUAUUCUAUUUGUACGUUAGCUGCAGAAGAAGCACCGGCUAACUCCGUGCCAGCAGCCGCGGUAAUACGGAGGGUGCGAGCGUUAAUCGGAAUUACUGGGCGUAAAGCGCAUGCAGGUGGUUUGUUAAGUCAGAUGUGAAAGCCCGGGGCUCAACCUCGGAAUUGCAUUUGAAACUGGCAAACUAGAGUACUGUAGAGGGGUAGAAUUUCAGGUGUAGCGGUGAAAUGCGUAGAGAUCUGAAGGAAUACCGGUGGCGAAGGCGGCCCCUGGACAGAUACUGACACUCAGAUGCGAAAGCGUGGGAGCAAACAGGAUUAGAUA